rnacentral:rRNA from 1 species
UGGUGGAGUGAUUUGUCUGGUUAAUUCCGAUAACGAACGAGACUCUAGCCUGCUAAAUAGCCAGCGUGUAUGAUUUCGCGCGCUGCGCUUCUUAGAGGGAUAGGCUACUCUUAGUGGCAAGAAACUGAGCAAUAACA